rnacentral:rRNA from 1 species
AACGAACGCUGGCGGCAUGCCUAACACAUGCAAGUCGAACGAGACCUUCGGGUCUAGUGGCGCACGGGUGCGUAACGCGUGGGAACCUGCCCUUAGGUUCGGAAUAACUCCCCGAAAGGGGUGCUAAUACCGGAUAAUGUCUUCGGACCAAAGAUUUAUCGCCUUUGGAUGGGCCCGCGUUGGAUUAGCUAGUUGGUAGGGUAAAAGCCUACCAAGGCGACGAUCCAUAGCUGGUCUGAGAGGAUGAUCAGCCACACUGGGACUGAGACACGGCCCAGACUCCUACGGGAGGCAGCAGUGGGGAAUAUUGGACAAUGGGCGAAGGCCUGAUCCAGCAAUGCCGCGUGAGUGAUGAAGGCCUUAGGGUUGUAAAGCUCUUUUACCCGGGAUGAUAAUGACAGUACCGGGAGAAUAAGCUCCGGCUAACUCCGUGC